rnacentral:misc_RNA from 1 species
GAAAUGCGAUAAGUAGUGUGAAUUGCAGAAUUCAGUGAAUCAUCGAAUCUUUGAACGCACAUUGCGCCCCUUGGUAUUCCAUGGGGCAUGCCUGUUCGAGCGUCAUUUGUACCCUCAAGCUCUGCUUGGUGUUGGGUGUUUGUCCCGUCUCCGCGCGUGGACUCGCCCCAAAGUGAUUGGCAGCCGGCGUACUGGUCCCGGAGCGCAGCACAUGUCGCGCAAACGAGUGCCUUGGUACGGCGGCGUCCAUAAGCCCCUCUCUCACGCUCUUGACCUCGGAUCAGGUAGCGAUACCCGCUGAACUUAAGC